rnacentral:rRNA from 1 species
GACAGAGGGUGCGAACGUUGUUCGGAUUUACUGGGCGUAAAGCGCGUGUAGGUGGCAUCGCAAGUCGAAUGUGAAAGCCCGGGGCUCAACCCCGGAAGUGCAUCCGAUACUGCGAAGCUAGAGUCCUGGAGAGGAUGGUGGAACUCUCGGUGUAGAGGUGAAAUUCGUAGAUAUCGAGAAGAACACCGGCGGCGAAGGCGGCCAUCUGGACAGUGACUGACACUGAGACGCGAAAGCGUGGGGAG